rnacentral:rRNA from 1 species
GAUGAACGCUGGCGGCGUGCCUAAUACAUGCAAGUCGAGCGAGCAGAUGAGGAGCUUGCUCCUCUGACGUUAGCGGCGGACGGGUGAGUAACACGUGGAUAACCUACCUAUAAGACUGGGAUAACUUCGGGAAACCGGAGCUAAUACCGGAUAAUAUAUUGAACCGCAUGGUUCAAUAGUGAAGGACGGUUUUGCUGUCACUUAUAGAUGGAUCCGCGCCGCAUUAGCUAGUUGGUAAGGUAACGGCUUACCAAGGCAACGAUGCGUAGCCGACCUGGGAGGGUGAUCGGCCACACUGGAACUGAGACACGGUCCAGACUCCUACGGGAGGCAGCAGUAGGGAAUCUUCCGCAAUGGGCGAAAGCCUGACGGAGCAACGCCGCGUGAGUGAUGAAGGUCUUCGGAUCGUAAAACUCUGUUAUUAGGGAAGAACAAAUGUGUAAGUAACUAUGCACGUCUUGACGGUACCUAAUCAGAAAGCCACGGCUAACUACGUG